GUCUCCUGAAGGAACGUUAAAGACGAUGACGUUGAUAGGCCGGGUGUGUAAGCGCAGCGAUGCGUUGAGCUAACCGGUACUAAUGAACCGUGAGGCUUAACCUUACAACGCCCAAG
rnacentral:rRNA from 1 species